UACAGAGGUGGCAAGCGUUGUUCGGAAUUACUGGGCGUAAAGGGCGCGUAGGCGGCCUUCUAAGUCAGACGUGAAAUCCCCCGGCUUAACCUGGGAACUGCGUCUGAUACUGGGAGGCUUGAGUAUGGGAGAGGGAUGUAGAAUUCCAGGUGUAGCGGUGAAAUGCGUAGAUAUCUGGAGGAAUACCGGUGGCGAAGGCGGCAUCCUGGACCAUUACUGACGCUGAAACGCGAAAGCGUGGGGAGCGAACAGG
rnacentral:rRNA from 1 species